CAGUGGAGCAUAUUUUCUAUAUUUUCCUAGACGAGAAUGCACAAAUUAUACUCACCGGGCUUGAGACAUGUGUAUAUAUUUUUAUAUUUUCACAAAGAUCGGCUCACUUGACAUAAAACGGUUUUUUUUUUUAUAAUUUCAAAAGGUCGAAAAUUGAAAAUCAUUCGGCCAAGUUCACGGAGGUCUCAUUUUUUCUCUUUCUGAAUUUUGGCCAUUUUGGCAAUCCAUAAUCGUCAUACUUCACACUAUUCUAUUUUUCGAAAUCGUUCUGUCGUUCGUAAGGAUUCAAAUCUACUUUUUGAAUGCGAGAAACCUUUCAAAAAGAUUGGCCUCAAAAAAAUGAAAUAAAAAUUGAAAUAUUACAUGAGCGCAGAAGCAUUCAUAGAAGCAUUCGCAUGCGCCUAGUUUUCUCGAACACAACAAAUUCUUCAUUCCGUUGCUAUGGACGCCUCACGUGGGCUGAAUAAGCAAGCACGCUUUUUCUCGCGAUCAUUAGGACAUAGUAUUUUGUGUGGUAAUUUAUGGAAAGAAACAUGAUUAUGUGUAUUUUAAAAAAUAUAUAAACUAAACUGGAAGAACCAUAAGAAAAAAAAUGAGUGGAGAAAGGAAUUCUCGAGUUCGCAGACGUUCGAGAGCCGACAAUGAAAUAUCCGACAGUACGACAACAAACAAGGAGAGAGACUCUGAAUGCAGUUCCGAGAAAGAGGCGUCAUCCGACCAGCCUAAAAGUCCUGUCAUUUUAUUAAACAAAGAAAGAACGACGUCAAGCUCAUCUGUCAAAAGUAGCAGACAACAAAGUGUAAAGUCAAAAAUUUCUGAUGAUUCGUCGGAAAACGUGGAAGAGAAAAAAUCUACCUACUCGAAGUACGAGUCGAGCUCGAAUAACAAUAAAAAAAUUGAAAUUAUCGAUUCCGUUCGGAAGGUUGAAAAUUUUUUACAAAGUGCUAAAAUGAUGAAAGACAAUCGGGAGAGUGGAACUCCUGAUUACAACGAAUCAUCGAUACAGGAUAAAAGACGUAAGUCGAGAAAGAAACGAAGAGAACAGAAACGCGUUGAUAUGGAUUCUAACAGAACAGAAGACGACGCUUAUGAUGAGGAAGUUCGAUCUUCCGAACGUGAAGUAACGCGAUCGAGAACGAAAAAAUCACGUCCGAAUAUACCACGAAAAAACAGAAGAAAAAGACGUCGUUCUAGAGGAGAUUCGUCACUGAAGCCGGAAAAAGAUGAAGAAUUACCGAUCACCGAAAUAUUGAGAAAGGCACAGGAAAAUCCGAAGCCACGUUACGAAGAACCGCUACCGUUGACCGAGCUUACGACAGACAGAAUUUACGUGCAGGGAAGGAACGGAUUCAGUGCUUUCAAAAUCCCAAAUGAUCGAACGAACAGCAUUUUUCGACGGUCGCUUCCGAAGGAAAAAAGUCCCCCACCUUUUCCCAUAAGAGUUUCUAUCUUCACGCAAAGAGUUUGGAAUUACACUGGACUCGUACACCAAGGACUUCUCGCUGGAAUGGCACUGAUGCAUCUAAUAUUGGUUGAAACGUUCUUUCGCCAGUCGGCUGAAUUUCUCGAAGAUUAUUCUGUCGUUUCGGAAUAUUACACCAACAUAUUUUCGUAUCUCAUUACAAUGUGCAUUAUUUCGGCCUUCGACAGAUUCGAUUUGGCGCAGUUGAACAUCGAGCAUUAUCGUGAAAUUUACAGCGAGCAUUCGAGGUCAUUAUUGGCGGUUCCACUUUACAUAGCGACAUUUUGUUUGCAUCAAACCAGCCUUCUCGUGGACGACAACAUUUCUCUGAUUGGGUACCAUCGGAAUAAAACCGAAAACGAAAAUGUGCGUAUGAACUACGUCUCGUUCCGGUAACGUCCUUCUCAUUUUUAUUUCCCGUCACUUGCAAAUGACGACAUUUAUCCAAUAAGUAUGUUUGUUCAGGCUGCACUUUCUGUCAUUAUAGUCCAAGAUUAGAUUUCGGAAUGAUUUUCGAAAUUUUAGUGACUCCAAUUCAGAAAUCGUAACAAUGGAUAACAAUUGGAAGAAAAUUUCGUACAAUGCGAAAUACUUGGCACGUGAUUCCAUUUUUAUAUUCCCAGCAUAAAAUUCCACCAACGUCAUAACGGACGAACAUCUUUCAACAUGGCAGAAAGUGACUGUCGCGAAAGACAGUAUGGCAGUAUUAGCGUGGCUGUUUGUAGUUCUCGGCCCCCGAGAGGACAUGUUGUUGGCGCAUC